rnacentral:rRNA from 1 species
GACGAACGCUGGCGGCGUGCCUAAUACAUGCAAGUAGAACGCUGAAGAGAGGAGCUUACUCUUCUUGGAUGAGUUGCGAACGGGUGAGUAACGCGUAGGUAACCUGCCUUGUAGCGGGGGAUAACUAUUGGAAACGAUAGCUAAUACCGCAUAACAAUGGAUGACACAUGUCAUUUAUUUGAAAGGGGCAAUUGCUCCACUACAAGAUGGACCUGCGUUGUAUUAGCUAGUAGGUGAGGUAAUGGCUCACCUAGGCGACGAUACAUAGCCGACCUGAGAGGGUGAUCGGCCACACUGGGACUGAGACACGGCCCAGACUCCUACGGGAGGCAGCAGUAGGGAAUCUUCGGCAAUGGGGGCAACCCUGACCGAGCAACGCCGCGUGAGUGAAGAAGGUUUUCGGAUCGUAAAGCUCUGUUGUAAGUCAAGAACGGGUGUGAGAGUGGAAAGUUCACACUGUGACGGUAGCUGACCAGAAAGGGACGGCUAACUACGU